AUUGAACGCUGGCGGCAGGCCUAACACAUGCAAGUCGAACGAGUGGCGGACGGGUGUGUAAUGUCUGGGAAACUGCCUGAUGGAGGGGGACAACUACUGGAAACGGUAGCUAAUACCGCAUACCAUCAGAUGUGCCCAGAUGGGAUGAGCUUGUUGGUGGGGUAACGGCUCACCAAGGCGACGAUCCCUAGCUGGUCUGAGAGGAUGACCAGCCAUACUGGAACGGAGACACGGUCCAGACUCCUACGGGAGGCAGCAGUGGGGAAUAUUGCACAAUGGGCGAAAGCCUGAUACAGCCAUGCCGCGUGGAUGAAGAAGGCCUUCGGGUGGUAAAGUACUUUCAGCAGGGAGGCGUUAACCGCAGAAGAAGCAACGGCUAACUCCGUGCCAGCAGCCGCGGUAAUUC
rnacentral:rRNA from 1 species